GCUACCGUGGACCAGUGGAAGGUCGUCCUCGUCAUGUUAUACGCCAACUGUCACUUGUAGGAGAGGAAGUCGUGGGUUCGACUCCCACCGGUGGCA